ACAGGUGAGGUUCUGAGGAGCU
rnacentral:piRNA from 1 species